GCUAGAUUACACAUGCAAUAUUAAUGAACAAAAAAAAUUUAGCUACACCAAUUGUAUAUUAUAUUAAAAUCACAUAAAAUCUCAACUUUGAAAUUUAUUAAUGUGAAUAGUAGAGUACAAUUUCAAAACAUAGUCCAAAUUUCAAACAUAGUAGAUUAUAUCACACGAAAUUUAUAGAUGAGGCAAGAAUUUUCGCACAUCACCCGCCCUUGUUUCAUCUUGAUUUAUGAACAACAUCCUCCAAUAAUCUCAUCCACGAAAGCCCUAAGAUUCUUUUCUGAAGAGCCACCUUCUUUCACUGCUUCUAUUGCUAAAUUCUUCCAUUUCUUGGAAUUGUUUCUUUUCUCUUCUGCAUUCUUUCCAUCUCCCAUGACCAACUCCAAGCACCUCACCAUCUCCUCACCUACGACUAUCCCUUCUUCGUUGGGUACCACUCUCACCCCUGUUUGCCAUUCAUCUUCUAUCAACUUUGCGUUUGUUCCUUGAUCAGUCCACUGUGGAAACGCCACCAUCGGAACGCCGGAAACUAAGCCCUCUAAAGUUGAGUUCCACCCACAAUGAGUCACGAAACAUCCUAAUGAUGGAUGAGACAAAACCUCCACUUGAGAACACCAUGGCACUAUCAUCCCUUUCUCUUCCAAUUCUUGUCUGCAACUCAGUUGAUUUUCUUCAUUAGUCCCAUCCACAAGUGGUUCUUCCCUUAGCACCCACAGGAAUGGACGAGAGCUAUUCAGUAAUCCACGAGCAAUUUCUUCCAUUUGUUGCUUAGAUAAGACACAAAUGCUCCCAAACGAUACAUAGAUUACUGAUGAUUUUGGUUUUGAGUUCAGCCAUUCUUUGUAACCCUUUGAACUUUGGAAAAGAUCAGCUCCAAAGGCAGUAUCCGACGGAUCUUUGCGAUCAAGAAAUGCGGAAGGAAGUAGUGGCCCAAUUCCUAUCAUAUUGAACUUCUCAAUGGCUUUCAAGGCUUCGGGUUCUAAUGCAUCAAAUGUGUUAACGAGUAUUUUUGGGUUGCUUUCUUCGCUAAGCGUCUCUAGUUGCUCCUUAAACGAAGCGAGUGCAAAAGUAUAAAGGUUUGAGGGAACUAAAAAGGAGGGAAGGUCACGGCCAGUGAACGGUGGAAGCUUUCCUGGUAACUGGACUACGUAAGUGGGGUCACUGCAGUUGCUAAACAAAUCUCCAUAACCAUUGAAGUAAUAGUAAAAGACGCUAAGAACCGUUGAAGGCUGAAUCCAAAGAAGUGUAGACGGAAGGUGAUGUGCACGCGCCACCUCAGCUGCCCAUGGAAGCAGUAAUGUGUAGACUACGCAGGUAAAUGGCUUGCCUUCAUUCUCCUUAGCCACGAUCAUAUCACUGAGAGUUUGUGAGCCGCGACGCUUGAUCUCUGACGCGUAGUUGUUAUGGUCAUCGUGACCGAACUUGAAUCCAUCGUCGUAACCAUCAGAAAAGGUGGCUAACGACAAGCCGUCAGGGAAUGAGGUUUUAGCCAUGCGGCGUGUCGCAGAUAGACAAGUAGCAAGAGUAACAUGAACACCGAUACGAAUUAAACACUUAGCGAAUUGGAGAGCUGGGUUUAUGUGGCCUUGCGCCGGAAAGGUUACUAGAAGAAAGUGGGGUUGCAUCAUGACAGUGGUGUUUCGGCUGAAGUGGCUGUGCGGGGGGCGUACUGCGGCUGAGACUGGAGAGUGAGAUUGAAGAGCAGUAGCACGUAGCAGCAGCAAUUGUGGUAGCAGCAGCUAUUGGAUUAAUGGGUGGCUGUAAUAGGGCACAUGCAUGAAGACAAGUGAGGCUUAAACAGAGGACGUUGGCAUUGAAAAGGUGACGUUUGUGGUGACGUUUUUUGUGAAAGGCUUGUUCUACUUUGCAAAUAAGACGGCGGAAGACAGUGUUGUAGAAAGAAGAGACAAAAAUAUACUGCUGAGUUUUUAUUUUUUAAUUGGUUCAGUGCAUGUGAUCGAUCAAUUCAGUUUUCUUUUUCAAAGAUCGAUCAAUUCAGUUGCUGCACG
rnacentral:misc_RNA from 1 species